rnacentral:rRNA from 1 species
GUGUCAGCCGCCGCGGUAAGACGAACCGUCCAAACGUUAUUCGGAAUCACUGGGCUUAAAGGGUGCGUAGGCGGCCCUGAAAGUUGGGUGUGAAAUCCCUCGGCUCAACCGAGGAAUUGCGCCCAAAACUCCAGGGCUCGAGGAAGACAGAGGUGAGCGGAACUUGCGGUGGAGCGGUGAAAUGCGUUGAUAUCGCAAGGAACACCAGUAGCGAAAGCGGCUCACUGGGUCUUCCCUGACGCUGAAGCACGAAAGCUAGGGGAGCGAACGGGAUUAGAUACCCCGGUAGUCCUAGCUGUAAACGAUGAGCACUUGGUUGGAGGGUCCUCCAUAGCCUUCCAGCCGUAGCGAAAGUGUUAAGUGCUCCGCCUGGGGAGUAUGGUCGCAAGGCUGAA